rnacentral:rRNA from 1 species
CGCGAAGAACCUUACCAGGUCUUGACAUCCUUUGACAACCCUAGAGAUAGGACUUUCCCUUCGGGGACAAAGUGACAGGUGGUGCAUGGUUGUCGUCAGCUCGUGUCGUGAGAUGUUGGGUUAAGUCCCGCAACGAGCGCAACCCCUAUUGUUAGUUGCCAGCAUUCAGUUGGGCACUCUAAUGAGACUGCCGGUGACAAACCGGAGGAAGGUGGGGAUGACGUCAAAUCAUCAUGCCCCUUAUGACCUGGGCUACACACGUGCUACAAUGGAUGGUACAACGAGCAGCAAGACCGCGAGGUCAAGCGAAUCUCUUAAAGCCAUUCUCAGUUCGGAUUGCAGGCUGCAACUCGCCUGCAUGAAGCCGGAAUCGCUAGUAAUCGCGGACCAGCACGCCGCGGUGAAUACGUUCCCGGGUCUUGUACACACC